rnacentral:rRNA from 1 species
AACGAACGCUGGCGGCGGGCCUCAUACAUGCAAGUCGAACGAGAAAGUCCUUCGGGACGAGUAGAGUGGCGCACGGGUGAGUAACACGUAGGUGACCUACCUUCUAGCGGGGGAUAACUCGGGGAAACUCGAGCUAAUACCGCAUGUGUUGAGUAACUUUGGAAGGAACUCAAUAAAGAGGGCGCAAGCUCUCACUAGAAGAUGGGCCUGCGGGACAUUAGCUUGAUGGUGGGGUAACGGCCUACCAUGGCGACGAUGUCUAGCUGGUCUGAGAGGAUGAUCAGCCACACUGGAACUGAGACACGGUCCAG